AAUGAAUGCUCUCUCCCAUAACUGAUUGAUUGGUUGACUUAUUCAUUUAUUCAUUCAUUCAACAAAUACUCCUGGAGUCCUCACUGCCUGCAGGCAUCAGUCUUGGUGAUGGGAGAGAGCAGCGAAUGAGACAGGCGAAUGAGACGGGCUAGGACCCAGCCCUGAGACAGGAUCUCGGGGAACUGGCAACAUGAGUGCCCCUGUGCUCCUUUGCCAGCAGCUUCCAUCCUACUGGCCGUCUUCCGGCCUCUUUCAAGGAUUAUUGCUGUUGGACAUUUAUUUUAAUUGAUUUUGGGCUUCCAAGACAUAACCCCUACCCUCCCACGUGGGUCUUGAGAACACCUCCUCUCUGCCCUCUGCUGGUGGGGACUUGUAAGGGCUUUGCAGUAAACUGCUCAAAAUUCACUAGUCAUAAAUAGCAAGGCUUCCGGCCGCCUUCCAUCGCCCCUGAGAUGGACUGGAGUGCCUUAAUAUUUAGAGAGGAAUGAAUUUGUAAUUAGCACCUUAACGUUAUAUCAGAGCCAUUUCCAUUCCGGAGGUUUUCUAUUUAAAUGCAAAUUGAAUCUUCCCGAAGGAAAGCUAAUAAGUGAUGAAAACAGAUAUCGAGAGAUGAGGCAGCGGCAGGAAGAGGGAGGCAGCGCUGGUGUGGAGCUGUCACUGUUGUCCUGUUGCUGACUUGCUGCCUGUGGCCCACACUCCCCCACCCGAAGGCCGGGCUCUGCGGCUGAGGGAGCUUGAGUAUCCACUCCCCUGUCUGCUCCUGGGGCUGCCCAAGUCAGCAGCCCUGUGGUUGGUCCUCACCGGCUGCUGGUGGUCAUCUUAGCAUCACACGGCCUGGCAGGAUCUGGGCUGUGGCGUUGACAGACCUGAAUCCAGGGUGCUCUUCUGACUCGCUGGCAGAGCUCUCUGGGCAAGCCCCCCAGGCUCUCUGUGCCUCCGUGCCUUCACGCCGCAAGAAGCCCUUAGUGCUCGUUCCUCUCAGGACUGCGGUAAAGACUGGUGAUAAACAGAGAAAGUGUGCCUGGCUUCCAGUAGGUGCCCAACAACAUUAGUUUCCUUCCCUUGUCACAAGAUAUUGCUGUGCCAACUUAACAUGUCAAGAAUGAUCUAUGGGGCAUUCUAGAAAGACAACUACACACAGAAGGUGAGCCUGGCCUCGGGAGCUCCCAGUGUGUCGUCCCUCCAGCCAGCAGAGCACCACAGAGGAUGUUCUGGUGGUGCCCGCCCACAGGAGGGGAGCCGCCUCUGUGAGGAGGGGUGGAGCUGCCACAGUCCCUACCAGCUAACCACUCCUCUUUCCCUCCCCCAAG
rnacentral:lncRNA from 1 species